rfam:Aspergillus flavus AF70 858, whole genome shotgun sequence.
AGGGCUUCCCGUCCGCUCAGCCGUACUUAAGCCACACGCCGGGAGGUUAGUAGUUGGGUGGGUGACCACCAGCGAAUCCCUCCUGUUGUAUGUU